rnacentral:rRNA from 1 species
ACUCAAAGGAAUAGACGGGGGCCCGCACAAGCGGUGGAGCAUGUGGAUUAAUACGUCACUAACCGUAGAACCUUACCCAGGCUUGACAUCUGGGGAACCCCUCGGAAAGGAGGGGGUGCCCGCAAGGGAGCCCCAAGACAGGUGUUGCAUGGCUGUCGUCAGCUCGUGUCGUGAGAUGUUGGGUUAAGUCCCGCAACGAGCGCAACCCUCACCGUAUGUUGCCAGCGUCAAGACGGGCACUCUUACGGAACUGCCCGCGCAAGCGGGAGGAAGGUGGGGACGACGUCAAGUCAGCAUGGCCCUUACGCCUGGGGCUUCACACAUGCUACAAUGGCCGGUACAGAGGGUCCCGAUACCGUGAGGUGGAGGCAAUCCCAAAAAGCCGGUCUCAGUUCGGAUCGCAGGCUGCAACUCGCCUGCGUGAAGGCGGAAUCGCUAGUAACCGCCGGUCAGCUAAACGGCGGUGAAUACGUUCCCGGGCCUUGUACACACCGCCCGU